rnacentral:rRNA from 1 species
CAGUAGCCGCGGUAAUACGUAGGGUGCGAGCGUUAAUCGGAAUUACUGGGCGUAAAGCGUGCGCAGGCGGUUCUGUAAGACAGGCGUGAAAUCCCCGGGCUCAACCUGGGAAUGGCGCUUGUGACUGCAAAGCUAGAGUGCGGCAGAGGGGGAUGGAAUUCCGCGUGUAGCAGUGAAACGCGUAGAUACGCGGAGGAACACCGAUGGCGAAGGCAAUCCCCUGGGCCUGCACUGACGCUCAUGCACGAAAGCGUGGGGAGCAAACAGGAUUAGAGACCCCAGUAGUCCCUGUCUCUUAUAA